AAUGCUUUUCAAAUCAAUGUAACUUGCAUGGAGUUGCUGUCAUGAAAUAUAUUUUUUAGACCAUAGCCUCUUGUUAGACUACUUGGUGCUAUUCCUCUCUCACACUAGAUCACGCUGAGCCCUAUAGAUCCCUACCACCAAAGAGAGAGGGGAGGCAAAGCCACCAGAUAGAUCUCACACCAUGAUGAGUGUAUGUUGUCCUGUGUAGAACCCGUUAAUGUCUGACUCAGAGUGACCUGGAGCGAAGCAGGGACAGUAGGGAUGAAGCAGGGACGGCAACCAGCAGGCCCAGAGUAAAGUGGGGACGGUCAACAGCCUGGAGCGGAGCAGGGGUUGGUGGCCAGUGGAUCCAGAAUGAAGAUGGCUACUGGUUGGGAACCUGGUCAGACCACAUGAAAGCCCUGAAAGAAAGACUCGUAGAUACUGAGAAAACAACACCUAAUUAGUUGCGUUGAUUGACCUCACCCCACUGCUAGCUGUUAUACAGUUCAUCAAGCAGACAGGAAGUGGAAUAGAGAUUGGAUCAAAUGUGAGAAACACUAACCUGAGCCCCAAUCUUCCUGCAAAUAGCAGGCAAGUGAAACUUUGAUCUCUUGUUUGAGAAGAAUUAUCAUGCAACAUAGACUCCUUCAUUUGACUGGCUAAGUGGUUGCAAGAAAGAUCAGCAUUAACAAAAAGCGUUGACUCUUUCACAGGACUGAUAUUUUCAAGACUGUGUUUUCCAUCUUGGACUGGAGAAGCAUAUGGAGAUUUAAUUAUAACAGCUGUAAGACUCAACCAGUCAAUAAGUACAUUUUUCAUUAGGUGUCUUUUGCACAUGUUGCUUAUUUUUUGAUCAUGUCUGUCUGAAAGUUCUCUUUUCUAGUGGUGUCCUAUAUAAUUUGGCUUAUCAUAAGGGGACAAGCAAUGAGCUGAAGGAAUAAUAUAACAGGUUCUGUUUAGUCAGGAAGCAGUUUCUGUCACAAACUCCCACAUAGCAUCCAUUCUGCCAGUUCUGAGUUUUCCUGGUUUAUUUGGCCUUAUCCUGAAACAGCGUUUGAAAUGUAUUGCACUUGUUAAUGACAAAUAUAGUAUGUUACAUAACUCAUUAAAAAAAACUCUUACAACCGUCAAUCAUAAACUUGCUAAACUUCACUCAUUCCAAAUAACAUUCAUUUUAUUUGGUUUCAAUCCUUGUACCUAGUUCUUCUUCUCCUCAGUGAUUAAAGUAAACACAGCUCACUAUUUCAUGUUUCAAUUGUGCCGUAGUACAUCUACAAGUAUUGUGGUGUCACUCUAUCCCUAAAACUGGCCCUAAAGUGGAUACUCGAAUUUCAGGUCUCAAAUAAACAGCUCUGAUAAAGAAUCAUCUUGAUUCGAAAUAUUAGCUUGUCCUCUGUCCAUGAAUGCUGCCUGACCCGCUGUGAUCUCCAGCAUUUGUUGUUUUCAGUGCAAGUACAGUUGGCUGGAUAACUGGUUUGCAAUGUUGAGUGAUAACAAAGGGUGUGGGUUCAAUUCCUGUGCGAGCUGAAAUUACCAAUGAAGGUUCUGCUUUCUCAAUCUGUCCUGAGGUAUGGUGAUCCUCAGGUUAAAUGACCACUCAGUCCUCUCUCUCUCUCUCUAUCUCUCUUUCUAAUGAGGGAAGCCCUAAGGGACUGUGAUGAUAUUUUGUUUACAAGUACUUGUGCAUUUGAAGACUUAUUUCAAGACAUUAUCUUCCAUCAGUUUAAUGUUAUAACACGCUACAUACAUAAUAACCUUACGUAUCAUUUUUAACUGAGCUUGUAGUCACUUGUUCUAAAAUGGCUUUAUUUGGUUCAGAGUAAAAUUUUGUUUGCUAAUCACUCCUUUGAAGCAAGGGUAAUUCCAAAAUUUCAUAAGACAGACAACAUUUUCAACUUUCUUUUGAUCUUUCAAAACUUACU